GCACUUGUAUUGUAUAGGUAUUUAGGGCAGUAAUUGUUGCAUUUCAUUCAUGUUUAGUUAGUUAAUUGCAUGAUUCUUAAUUAAUUUCAUUAUAUUUUAGAAUUUAUGUUGAUCUAUCUUAAUUUCUUGAUUUUUGCGUUAUAUCAAGUGAUUUGAUGCAAUCCUAAGGCCUAGAACAAUUAUGGAGGAGUUUGGAAGUCAAAAGGUGAAAGUUAGGAAGUUAGAAGGAUUACACAGGCUGUGCAAAUAACAAGCAUGACCCGUGCAACAUAGACAUGGGAGAAAGCCAAUACACGGGCUGUGUACCGUGACCCGUGUAACUAUCCUCCCCCCGUAUAACCUUCUAUUCCUCCAUAAGAUGCAAGGUUAAGAUGUCCAUAGAAUUACCCGGCCCUGCCCCAUGCAAUGAUGCUACACCGGAUGUCAGUAGAGAAUCCCAAUUUGACUUUUUUCUUUUCUGCUUGGCCUAGAAGGACUUCUAAGGCUACUAAGAUUCUAAAUUAAGUAUUUUUAUACCAUAUAUAAAUACAAUAAGUCAAAAACAAAGUGGAAUCAAUUCUUUAGCAUUAGAGAAUAGCAAUGCCACCUCGAGAGAGAUCGUUAGCAAGAUUUCUAGAAGAGAUUCUCAGCUGAAGUUUCAUAAGUUCAACGUUGCAAAAUUCUCAUUAUGGGUUUCUUCUUUCUAUUUCUUCUGAUGUGUUUCUUUUAUUUUCUUACUUUAAGUUUGAUUGUAGAACUCAUUAUGAGUAAGUAGUUUUCUUGAUUCUUGAAUUAGGGAUGUAGCACUUUCAAUUCAGUUAUGAAUUUUAU
rnacentral:misc_RNA from 1 species